UUGUGUAUUUUUUUAACAACAAAAAACCCACACCAGCAACAUCCCCCAAAAGCAGCAGCAUGGCCCAGUUUGGUUUGGAGUUGGCAAUCUUGAACUGACUGUAAUAUUUCAUAAUGAUUGAAGCUGACAGUGUGCCCUUUUUAUGGUACUCAGAUAAGGGGUACUACUUCUUAAUUAAACACCAAUUCAGGGGGAAAAUAGGUGAAUAUCUGAGGGCAGGCUCAAACAAAAAAAAACCCGUGGAUGUCACAUGCAGAUGUAUCUGUUAUUUUCGUUUUCCACCGUGGAUUAUAAAAGCUUACAUGCAUGCUAAGAGCUGAUGAGUCAGGAUCAUGAGUUGGACCAACAAGGAGGAUGCCUGCAGUAGGCAGAGGAUGAUGGGGAGGAGGUGAAUGAAGCUUACUCCAGUACCAGGGAGCCUCCUAGUUGCAGUCUGUGCUCUUGCUGAUGAAUUUGACCGCUCUGAUACCUGCAAGACUGCAGUUUUCUGCAGUAUCCUUGUAACAGGGGAGGUUUGCACUGUAUGGGUGGGCUGUAAGCUGGGUGAGAAGCUGGUGAGAGCAGCAGGUACAAAGGGCUGCUGUUAAAGGUUAUGUUUUGAGUUGGUGGCUGGGUACCAGCAGCACUUGUGGGUUGAUCAAGCCUUGCCCUGUUCAGCAUCUCCAUGCUAAUAUGAUAGAAGUGUUUUGCAUCUCCGUGGUUAUAGAGAAUAUAGAGGUGGGAUGUGUCCUGUUCUUUUCGUACCAGAAAGCCAAUUGCUUUAAUUAUCUUCAUCAACUUAGCUAAUAGGGACAGAGAGGAUAUUUUCUAGUUUGGAUUUUUGUUUGAAGUUGAAAAAUUGACUGAGAGCUGGAAAAGAAGAGGGAAUAAGCAGUGGUGACGUACAAUCCUGUCAGCCCCUUCUGAAAGCUUUGGGGCAGUGAAAGCGAGCAGCAGCAGGAGUGACCCCACUGUAAGGCACAGAAGGAGGAGGUUCCCCCUCUGACAUGAGAAGACUUGAGGACUUCUGGAGCACCUAAUCAAAUCAUACGCUGAGCUGCAAUUGAUCUCGCUGGGAAACAUUCCUCUGAGCGUUAGAUACACUGAAGUAAAUCUUGGGAAUCUGGCCUCUUGUGACUGGAGACAAACAUACCAGUUUUGCUUUACAUGCGUUUAUGCACUUUUCAUUAUAGUAGCUUGAAGUACCAAUAAGUUGUUUAAACAGUGCCAUUUGGCAUUUACCUGCUUAAGCUGCCUUAAAGACCCAGAAUCUGUCCCCUGGUGUUAAUAUUUCCCUACUUCAAGCCUCUGUGGUUUCUGUGGGGUGACACAGGCUGAGUUAAACUAUGGUGUUUUUUUUAAAUAUUUUUAUUUUUGGCCUGUGGUCACAUUGUGGCAAGAGCAUGGUUACCAGCUAAUUGCAAGCAAUGCCUCUUCUUGCUGCAGAUUGAGUUGUUAGAGGAAGAAAACUGCUGGUGCUAGGCCAGGAUUUAUUAAUGACUGGCAGCUGUGGGUCUUCAUAUGCCUGCCUCCUGCCAGAGCCAAGUACUUACGGAGUCAUUAAGGUUGGGAAAGACCUCUAAGAUGAUCUAAUCCAAUCGUCCACCUACCACCAAUAUUGCCCACUAACUGUGUCCCUGUGUACCACAUCUACGUGCUUCUUGACUGCGCUCAGUCAUGGCGUUGCUGGUUAGGGUAAGGAUGCAUGUGUUUGGUGUUUGUUUCUAAGAGCCAAACAGUAAAACCUACUAUUGGUGAGGGUGGGAAUGAAGGGGCUGAGUUUUACUCCUUCAGGAUUUGUUUCUUGGCUGUUGCCCAUAAGAGCUCUUCCUGAUGUAGGAAUGAGGAUGGAGGGAAGCAUUACAGUAAGGAAUGUAGCGGGAUGUGUGUGCGAGUGCUUGAAGAGAUCCUUUAAAGUGUGAUUCAAAGUCUGACUUCUGUAAUGAGAGGUUUUAAUUUGGGCAGAGUCACUGAGGCAGAAAGGAGGAAGCCCAGCCGGUGUUAUCUGUGAAAUAAAGACUUCAUUUUGUAUGUUUGAUUUGAUCUGGGUUGGACUUCUGCUUUUUCUGUGUCCAGAAAAAGAAACUGCAACAGUGCUUUCAUGUUAAUACUUCUAUUUUAGACAAAAAACAGUUUGCCUGCUUAGAAGUAAAGGUUUCAGUCCCCAUGGGAAUGCCUGUUAUCUGGUUACAAGAUAAUACAUGGCCGAGGCAUGCUAAAGAGUGGUAAUACACUAAAUGUUCCAGCUGUAAUUGAACCACACCAAGCAUCACCUGCUCUUAAGUAAUUAAUGAAUUUGAACUAUCUAUACACAAGGAGCAAUGUGAAGAAAUAGGGCUUGUUUGUCUCUGGAAGAAGGUCCUUGUAAGGUCUUGCAGCAUGUAUUUUGACCACGUGAUGCCUAGCUGGAAUGGCACCAUGGACCUAGUGCUUGAAGAAUCUGAAAAACAACCUGGAACCAGUGGAACCCAGCAUUCCUCCUCUGCUGAGCAUCCUACUCUCUGCAGCCUUUGGCCAUAUCCUGCCAUCUUCAAAUGCUGCAUCUCAGGGUGGUUCCAAGCAGGAGCUGUGCUUGGGCUGAACCAGCCGCCAGGAGUGGCUGGAUUGGUUUUGUGUAUACCUGUAAGUCAGUGCUGGUAGAAACAUUGCUCUCCCAGCUGGUUCUGUUGCUGUGCUGGGUGACCCUAUGUCACAGUGGCUUUGAGAGCAUCUCCGAGGUGACACAGCAUAGGUCACUGAGCUUCAUUUCUUGCAGUGCACAGGAACUUGAGGGGAGGUGUUUCUUCCUCCCCAUUUCAAGGACGUAUUGCCAAACUGCCUGGUGACAUUUGGUGAAGUGAGAAACUCCAAGUCAGAUGGUGUUUUCUCUUGUUGAUACGGCUGCACAUCAACGCAAGCUGUUCUGGCAGAGCGCAGCCCUGUGGAGGCCUGGCUCUCAGCAUCUCCCAGCAGUGUGUGCUCCGAAAUUCAUCUCUGAGGUUGUUCCCAGAGCCCUGAUGUGGGAGGAAGAAAGCUUCUUGGGAUCACAGCUGGCUUCUCUUCCGCAGGUGAGGCCUACCUGGGCGGCCAGGCCACGGGUGUCGGCAUGGUGUCUGUCUCCUGGCAUGGAGCACUCUGACUGCGCCCUGCCAACCCUACUGCUCACAUCUGCAUCCCUUUUUGCAUCUGUGGAUCUCACUCUUUAUACUUACGCACACUUGGUGUUACUUGUGACAUGAAAUUAGGAGGGUUUUAGAUGGCAACAUGGAUUUCUAGCCGUCCCCCUAAGGCAGGACUGACAGAAGCCAGCCAAGUGUCAGCUCCCACUCUGGAAACUCAUUAGGAUCACACAAUCAUUAAGUUUGGAAGACACUGUGAAGACCAUCCAGUUCAACCAUCAACCCAUCCCCACUGUGAUCGGUGGGACCCACCUGGCAGCUAGCUGUGCUCUGCCUUCUGAUAACUGUCUAAAUGUGGUGUAGAUUUGGUGAGCCUUUCUUCUGUCCUCCUGAUUCAUGCUUUUACUGUCCUUUUUUGUUGUUGUUGUUAAUGAUCUUAGCCUUUUGUUCUCAGUCUGUUUGAAGACUAAGUUGUUUUGUGUGCCAUAGUUUCAUAAUGUUCAUAGUUUCACAGAGCACUGCAGGAUGCCAUUAUUUUCUUCACUGCCUUUGCUGAGAUACUGAGCAAAAUUUUGGUCAUUGGCCCUGCCACAGGUGGAGUGAAGGUUCCCUCCCUAGUAGGAGGGAGAGAUGCCUUUCAUAGUGAGUGACUGCUGCAUGGCUUGCACAGAUCACGCAGAUUAUCUUGGACAAAAAUUGGAAUUAUGGACCAAGCAGAUUGAGCAGAAUUAGAAAACCCUAAUGAACAUCUAGAUAGCUUUGUGAUAUGAUGUUGCCAUAGAAACGUAGUUCAUAGCACUUCAUAGUCAAAACUUUGCCAAUGCUCUCAUAAUUUACCCCUUUGUAGAGCUGUUGUAAGCAAUGGAGAGCCCUUGGCUGGAGUAUUGUAGGGAUUCUCCAUUGAAGUUGGCAAGGAUGAAACUGAGCUGGAGUGAGCAUCGAGCAUAGGAGAGCCUGUGCUGUGCCUGGAGAGUCCUGGUGAGGGCUGAGCCCCCCAAAUCUGAUUGCAUUGCACCCAUGGGGAGCUGCGCUUUUUGCUUUACUGACAGUGCUGAGAUGCGUCAUUGUUCCACUUGCUCUCUCCUGCCUCCUUUCAGGCUUUGAGUGAGCAGUUAAUGAAGGACAGGGCACCGAGGUCGGUAAGGAAGGGGAAUGCAAGCAUUUUGUGAGGUGCUCUCCAUGUGCAGCAUUCUGACUUGCAAAAUAAACUGUAAAGCAGCUCACUCAGGGCAGGCAGCGAGUGCAAACCUGACUCCAGGCUGAGAAAAAUAAGGGGAGGGGGGAGGAAGGAUUCCCUGUUGAGUGCUGAGGGCUGCGCUCUGGCUCAGGGCACUGCAGGAGCAGCGCUGCAGGGAGCCCAGCCCCCAGGGGUCCCUCUUCUAACAAAAAAACAAAACAGCCCCCCCACGUUCCCCUGUGCUAUGGGGACUUAAUUAAACAACAGCAUGUGGUUCUUGUGCUGUUGGAUGAUAAGAGAGUGCCAGAUGAUAGGGUGUAGCAGAGCUUUUCUUCCGUGAGUACUGGCAUUGUGCUGUGAAAAUGAGAAGGCAUUAAAAAAAAGUCCUCCCGAUUAAUAGUGGAAGUUGAGUGCUCUGGGUUCUUAUGGAUGAAAUUAAACAUUGUACGUCUGAUGUAAAACGCUUGCUAGACAGGUAAUUAAAAACAUUAGAAAGUAAUUAACUGGAAGUACCACGUACCCACCUGAUGAUGACUGUGUGAGCAAACUUGACUUGCAAAUCACUCUGGGAGUGGUGGAGGGGGUUUGGGGUGUUGUCUUUUGGGUACCUGCUUUAGCCUGGAGCUGGAGCAGCCCUGAGCAGAGUCCUGGUGCCUGUCCUGCAUCUGCUGGUUCCACCCUUGUCAACCUCACCUAGAAACAUUCAUUGGAGGAAAUAAAUAAAUUAUCCAUGC